rnacentral:lncRNA from 1 species
UUUUAGGAAUUAGGGGCCAAAAAGGGCCCAAAUAAGCAUUUUCUUGGUUUUCGCACUAUAACUUUAGUUUAAGUAAAUAGAAAUCUAUGAAAUUUGACACAAGGUUUAUGACCACAAAAGGAAGGUUGGGAUUGAUUUUGGGAGUUUUGGUUUCAAUAGUUUAGGAAUUAGGGGCCAAAAAAGGGCCCAAAUAAGCAUUAUUCUUGGUUUUCGCACAAUAACUUUAGUAUAAGUAAAUAGAAAUCAAUGAAAUUUAAACACAAGGUUUAUGACCACAAAAGGAAGGUUGGGAUUGAUUUUGGAAGUUGAGGUCCGAACAGUUUAGGAAUUAGGGGCCAAAAAGGGGCCCAAAUAAGCAUUUUUCUUGGUUUUCGCACCAUAACUUUAGUAUAAGUAAAUAGAAAUCUAUGAAAUUUAAACACAAGG